UACGUAGGGUGCGAGCGUUGUUCGGAUUUAUUGGGCGUAAAGAGCUCGUAGGCGGUUUGUCGCGUCGGCCGUGAAAUCUCCACGCUUAACGUGGAGCGUGCGGUCGAUACGGGCAGACUUGAGUUCGGUAGGGGAGACUGGAAUUCCUGGUGUAGCGGUGAAAUGCGCAGAUAUCAGGAGGAACACCGGUGGCGAAGGCGGGUCUCUGGGCCGAAUGACUGACGCUGGGGAGCGAAAGCGUGGGGAGCCGAACAGG
rnacentral:rRNA from 1 species